rnacentral:rRNA from 1 species
CGAAGGUGGCAAGCGUUAUUCGGAUUUACUGGGCGUACAGGGAGCGUAGGCGGUUCGGUAAGCCCUUUGUGAAAUCUUCAGGCUUAACCUGGAACAGUCGGAGGGGACUGCCGGGCUAGAGGACGGGAGAGGAGCGCGGAAUUCCCGGUGUAGCGGUGAAAUGCGUAGAGAUCGGGAGGAAGGCCGGUGGCGAAGGCGGCGCUCUGGAACGUUUCUGACGCUGAGGCUCGAAAGCGUGGGGAGCAAACAGGAUUAGAUACCCUGGUAGUCCACGCCUUAAACUAUGAAUACUAAGUGUCGGCGGGUUACCGCCGGUGCCGCAGCUAACGCAUUAAGUAUUCCGCCUGGGAAGUACGGCCGCAAGGUUG